ACGCGUAUCGAGAUCGACGUACGGAUUAUGGUUUAAAGGGUGCGUAGGUGGAUUAAUAAGUCAGCGGUGAAAGUUUGUCGCUCAACGAUAAAAUGCCGUUGAAACUGUUAAUCUUGAGUAUGUUUGGGGCAGGCGGAAUGCGGGGUGUAGCGGUGAAAUGCAUAGAUAUCCCGCAGAACUCCAAUCGCGAAGGCAGCUUGCCAAGCCAUUACUGACACUGAAGCACGAAAGCGUGGGUAUCAAACAGGAUUAGAUACCCUGGUAGUCCACGCUGUAAACGAUGAUUACUGGCUGUUUGUGUUUAACCAUAAGCGGCAAAGCGAAAGCGUUAAGUAAUCCACCUGGGGAGUACGCCGGCAACGGUGAAACUCAAAGGAAUUGACGGGGGCCCGCACAAGCGGAGGAACAUGUGGUUUAAUUCGAUGAUACGCGAGGAACCUUACCCGGGUUUGAACGCAGGGGGACUUGGUGUGAAAGCAUCAUUCCAGCAAUGGUCGCCUGCGAGGUGCUGCAUGGUUGUCGUCAGCUCGUGCCGUGAGGUGUCGGCUUAAGUGCCAUAACGAGCGCAACCCCUUCCGCCAGUUACCAUCGAGUAAAGUCGGGGACUCUGGCGGGACUGCCGGCGUAAGCCGUGAGGAAGGCGGGGAUGACGUCAAAUCAGCACGGCCCUUACAUCCGGGGCGACACACGUGUUACAAUGGCACGGACAAAGGGUAGCUACCUGGUGACAGGAUGCGAAUCCCCAAACCGUGUCCCAGUUCGGAUCGGAGUCUGCAACUCGACUCCGUGAAGCCGGAUUCGCUAGUAAUCGCGCAUCAGCCAUGGCGCGGUGAAUACGUUCCCGGGCCUUGUACACACCGCCCGUCAAGCCAUGGGAGCCGGGGGUGCCUAAAGUCCGUAACCGCAAGGAUCGGCCUAGGGAACCGUGG
rnacentral:rRNA from 1 species